CCUACGGGAGGCAGCAGGGGGGAAGUAUUGCACAAUGGGCGAAAGCCUGAUGCAGCGACGCCGCGUGAGGGAUGACGGCCUUCGGGUUGUAAACCUCUUUCAGCAGGGAGGAAGCGAAAGUGACGGUACCUGCAGAAGAAGCGCCGGCUAACUACGUGCCAGCAGCCGCGGUAAUACGUAGGGCGCAAGCGUUGUCCGGAAUUAUUGGGCGUAAAGAGCUCGUAGGCGGCUUGUCACGUCGGAUGUGAAAGCCCGAGGCUUAACCUCGGGUCUGCAUUCGAUACGGGCUAGCUAGAGUGUGGUAGGGGAGAUCGGAAUUCCUGGUGUAGCGGUGAAAUGCGCAGAUAUCAGGAGGAACACCGGUGGCGAAAGGCGGAUCUCUGGGCCAUUACUGACGCUGAGGAGCGAAAGCGUGGGGAGCGAACAGGAUUAGAUACCCUGGUAGUCCACGCCGUAAACGUUGGGAACUAGGUGUUGGCGACAUUCCACGUCGUCGGUGCCGCAGCUAACGCAUUAAGUCCCGCUGGGGNGCGCGCAG
rnacentral:rRNA from 1 species